UGUGUGUGUGUGUGUGUGUGUGUGCGUGUGCGUGUGCGUGUGCGUGUGCGUGUGUGUAUUUAUUUGCAGUGUCACAGGUGAUUAAUUUGAGGACCCGUCUUCCCUUUUUGGUUAUGCUGCUGCAUGUGUACUCAUCUUCUGAUGGCUAUUGAGACAGCGGUGGCGCAACAGUUAACUCUCUGGACUACUGAUUUGAAGAUUCUGAUGGUACUAUCUGCCUGGUGGAGCUCCUUCACACCACAGCAGACCUUGUAACUGAUGAAGAGGAUGAAACUGUGUCUGCUGCCUCUACAGAGGGGGAUCCAGAAAGGCAUAUAGAGAGCAUGGCUGGACAGCAGCAGGAUGCUUCCUCAACUUCCACUGCACAGAUUGACACAGUGAGAUGGAUGUUCAGUAAACACCAGAGGUUCAGUCCAUGGAAUUCAUGUGCAACUGUUUAAUUUAAUGUCCUUUAUGUAUUCCCAGUUAUCAGUAAAACGGAUUUGUAAAAUGCGCUUGCUGAAAAAAAUCCAGAAAAUGGAUAAAGAAAUGCAAUACUUGGACCACCAGAUUAGGAAGGCAGAUCUGGAAAUUGAAAUGCUGGAGCACAAGUUAGAGGUGGAUGCAGGUCACAGGUGAAUUAUGUUAACUACUGGAACAUUAACUAAACUAGCUCUUUUAUUUGUAGGAAAUAAAGAGGACCAA